UCCCUUUUAACUCAGUGGUAGAGUAAUGCCAUGGUAUGGCAUAAGUCAUGAGUUCAAAUCCGAUAAAAGGCU
rfam:Hordeum vulgare subsp. vulgare, WGS project CAJW01000000 data, contig: morex_contig_231028